GAGGGCCACGGCAGCACUUUCCGACGGGGUAGACAUUCAGUGUGCCCAUUGAAAGUGCCGAUCCUUUCCCCCUCCCAAUGGAAACCGAAUUUGAGCUGGUGUAUUCAUUACGUCAGCUUUCUUUCCUGAUUCAAAAUCUCCACUUUCGAACCGUUUCAAAUGGUGGAUUUUCCAGCGAAUCCUUUUCACACACCAUAUAUAUUCCAGAGUUCACCAUGGCCAGACCAACAAUCUCCAGAGUACCUUCAGGUUGCGCAUGACUGGAACUGCUCAUCUCAUCCUGAACAACAUGUUCGUCCACUUCCACAAGCUUUCACUGGCGAUCCUACUCACGGUCUCCUACUCAAUCGUUCAGGGUGCCGGCGCAGCCGGGGCCUCUCGGGCAGUCUCCUCAGGACUGUGCGAAGCACUUCCAUGGAUGAUGGAUGAUCUCGAAAUUAUUUCAUGGGAAGUGUGGAGCCAACACCAGUGUCAAUUGGUUCCACAUGAUCUCAUCAAAAACAAUUUGCCCAGGAUUCACCAGCUCUCAAGGAUGAGGAUGGAUAACUGCCUCAUGGAGAAAUCGGUUGCGGACAUGUACAUUCCCUUCAUGGAGCAAUUGCCCAAGAAAAACUCUGAUCGUGACCUUAAGAAGAAAAAAGUGCUCCACACCAUGGUCCACGUGUCUGAAAACAACUGUGUAAACACCGAGCCACAACAUCGAAUGACCAAGAGAGUUUUGAAUGAGUUGGCGAAACGCAAGGAAGAAGUGCAAAAUGCGAACAAGCAUGAAAUCUGCUCCGCCGCAAAUGGCCUGAGGAAGUUGAAGAAACUGUGUCCUGAAAAAUAUUGAAGAAGAAAAAAGAAGAUUAGGAUUGUCGUCGACAAAUAAAUGAAUAAAAAAAAUUGUAGAGGGAGGCGACAUGUUGAAAGUUAUGUGUUUAAGUGAAGCGACGACUUGUAUGUUUACAAUUCAGUUUUAUAGUUCAUAGGAUGAUGAUAAAACAUGGGUUGAUGGGACUAAAUCACGUGAUACACCGUGAGGUUAAAAAAAAAAAAGGACAAAAUACUCAUCGUACCUCAUUAUAUUUUGUAACUUAUUCACCUCAGUGCUUAUUUAUUGUUGUGCUUCUGUAUUUAUUUGAAUUCACUAUGAAACAAUGUCAACCAAAGACCGUACGUGGCUGUACAAGAAGGUAUUUUUUUUUAAUGGAAAAUUAAUUUAUUUAAAUUAUAUUUAUGAACGUGAUAUUUGUUUGAACUGAUAAUUUAUUAAUAAUUUAUUUCCCUUAAUUUAUACCCUACGAUGGAAACGGUAAUUCUUUUACAUACGAU
rnacentral:lncRNA from 1 species